rnacentral:rRNA from 1 species
GAUGAACGCUGGCGGCGUGCCUAAUACAUGCAAGCCGAGCGAAUGGAUUAAGAGCUUGCUCUUAUGAAGUUAGCGGCGGACGGGUGAGUAACACGUGGGUAACCUGCCCAUAAGACUGGGAUAACUCCGGGAAACCGGGGCUAAUACCGGAUAACAUUUUGAACCGCAUGGUUCGAAAUUGAACGGCGGCUUCGGCCGUCACUUAUGGAUGGACCCGCGUCGCAUUAGCUAGUUGGUGAGGUAACGGCUCACCAAGGCAACGAUGCGUAGCCGACCUGAGAGGGUGAUCGGCCACACUGGGACUGAGACACGGCCCAGACUCCUACGGGAGGCAGCAGUAGGGAAUCUUCCGCAAUGGACGAAAGUCUGACGGAGCAACGCCGCGUGAGUGAUGAAGGCUUUCGGGUCGUAAAACUCUGUUGUUAGGGAAGAACAAGUGCUAGUUGAAUAAGCUGGCACCUUGACGGUACCUAACCAGAAAGCCACGGCUAACUACGUGCCAGCCGCCGCAGUAA